GACGAACGCCGGCGGCGUGCUUAACACAUGCAAGUCGAACGGUGAAGCUCCAGCUUGCUGGAGUGGAUCAGUGGCGAACGGGUGAGUAACACGUGAGCAACCUGCCCCUGACUCUGGAAUAAGCGCUGGAAACGGCGUCUAAUACUGGAUACGAGAAGGGUCCGCAUGGGCACUUUCUGGAAAGUUUUUCGGUUGGGGAUGGGCUCGCGGCCUAUCAGCUUGUUGGUGAGGUAAUGGCUCACCAAGGCGACGACGGGUAGCCGGCCUGAGAGGGCGACCGGCCACACUGGGACUGAGACACGGCCCAGACUCCUACGGGAGGCAGCAGUGGGGAAUAUUGCACAAUGGGCGAAAGCCUGAUGCAGCGACGCCGCGUGAGGGAUGACGGCCUUCGGGUUGUAAACCUCUUUCAGCAGGGAAGAAGCGAAAGUGACGGUACCUGCAGAAGAAGCACCGGCUAACUACGUG
rnacentral:rRNA from 1 species